ACCAGCUGUGCGGCCGAAGGCGACGCUCGGGGCUGCUUCAAGGAUGCAGGCAUCCGCGGCUGGACCACUUUCAUUAAGCACCGGCAGAUCUCAUGCCUGCUGCUGC
rnacentral:sRNA from 1 species